GCCUGGGUGGCUCAGUUGGUUAAGCAUCUGACUUCUGCUUAGGUCAUAUCUCACAGUUUGUGAGUUCGAACCCCACAUCAGGCU
rnacentral:tRNA from 1 species